rnacentral:rRNA from 1 species
UGCCCAAUAGCUAGCUCACAUCUCAACUUCAACACUCACGUAUUAAUAACCCCUAAAAUACUAAAUACCCUAACCAAAUCAUUUUUCCUCUUAAGUAUAGGCGAUAGAAAAAGAAUAUUGACGCAAUAGAUAAAGUACCGUAAGGGAACGCUGAAAGAGAAAUGAAAUAACCCAGUAAAGCAAAAAAAAGCAGAGCUUCCCCCUUGUACCUUUUGCAUCAUGUUUUAGCAAGAGUCUUUUGAGCAAAAAGCAUUUUAGUUCAAACACCCGAAACAAGGUGAGCUACUCCAAGACAGUCUUACUUAUAGGACUAACCCGUCUCUGUGGCAAAAGAGUGGGAAGAUCUUUGAGUAGAGGUGAUAAGCCUACCGAACCUUGUUAUAGCUGGUUGCCUGAGAAUUGAAUAGAAGUUCAGCCCCUUAAAAUUUUUCUCCUUUCUACCGUGGUAAAAACAAAGCAUAGAUCUAAAAGAAAUUUAGGGAGUUACUCAAAGGGGGUACAGCCCCUUUGAGAAAAGAAACAACUUUAUAAAGAAGGUUAAAGAUCAUAUUAUCAACUUAAGGUAAAAUAUUUUUGUGGGCCUAAAAGCAGCCAUCACACAAGAAAGCGUUAAAGCUCAAAUAUUUAACCAUAGACCCACAAUUCUGAUUAUAUACUCCAAAUCCACUUUUUAUAUCAGGCCUUCCCAUACAUUUAUGGGAGUGAUAAUGCUAGUAUGAGUAAUCAGAGGGCCUAGGCCCUCUCCUUGCACAAGUGUACCCCGGAACGGACCCCCCUCCGGAAAUUAUCGGCCCCAAUCUAAUAGAGGGCAUAGGGUUAAAAAAAGAAAACUAGAAAUUCCCCCUAACAUAACCGUUAAUCCCACACUGGCGUGCCCACAUGGAAAGACUAAAAGAAAAAGAAGGAACUCGGCAAACAUAUUUACAAGCCUCGCCUGUUUACCAAAAACAUCGCCUCCCGCUAAAAAAGAAUGAGAGGUCCCGCCUGCCCUGUGACAUAAGUUUAACGGCCGCGGUAAUUUGACCGUGCAAAGGUAGCGCAAUCACUUGUCUUUUAAAUGAAGACCUGUAUGAAUGGCAUAACGAGGGCUUAACUGUCUCCUUUUUCUAGUUAAUGAAAUUGAUCUCCCCGUGCAGAAGCGGGGAUACACCCAUAAGACGAGAAGACCCUGUGGAGCUUUAGACAACGGGGCAGAUCAUAUUCCUCUCCUCAAAUCAAAGAGCUAAAUAAUUGAAGCCCGCCCUAAUGUCUUUGGUUGGGGCGACCGCGGGGAAAUAAUUAACCCCCAUGUGGAACAAUACUUUUGUAUCUAAGCUGAGAGUGACAACUCUAAGUAACAGAACUUCUGACCAAAAAGAUCCGGUAAUACCGAUCAACGAAACGAGUUACCCCAGGGAUAACAGCGCAAUCCCCUUUUAGAGCCCAUAUCGACAAGGGGGUUUACGACCUCGAUGUUGGAUCAGGACAUCCUAAAGGUGCAGCCGCUUUUAAGGGUUCGUUUGUUCAACGAUUAAUAGUCCUACGUGAUCUGAGUUCAGACCGGAGUAAUCCAGGUCAGUUUCUAUCUAUGUAGUGUUCUCUUCUAGUACGAAAGGACCGAAGAGAAAAGGCCCCUGCUAAAAGCACGCCUCUUCUUUACUUAAUGUAACCAACUAAAAUAAGUAAAAAGACACCCCACCCCAGUCAAAAAUCAUGGCAA